rnacentral:lncRNA from 1 species
CAUUUCACCUUCUCACAUUCUCCUGGUAUAAUUAUAUCACAAUUUUUGUUUGAAUCAACAUACAGAAUAUACAUUCUUAUUUUACAUAUAUCUUAUCCCUGCUGAGCCUUGGAAAGUGCUGUAUCAAUUUCUCUCUUAUAAAUGCCCAUGCCUAUGUCCUGAAUGGUAUUGCUUAGGUUUUCUUCUAGGGUUUUUAUGGUUUCAGGUCUAACAUUUAAGUCUUUAAUCCAUCUUGAAUUAAUGCUGUCACUCUCCAAAUUCUAUUAUUUCUGAGUGCUAACUAGUUCUGAACCAGGCCACUGUCCUUUGCCAAGCCAAACUACUUAUGUUAAAAUCCUGUGUAAUUAUUGGUAAGAUUUUUACAUUUCCAAGUCUGUUUUCCUAUCUUUUAAGCAAGGAGGCUUAAAGAGACAGUCCAUGGCACAAGACAGGGAUGCCC